AUUGAACGCUGGCGGCAUGCCUUACACAUGCAAGUCGAACGGUAAAAGGUUAAGCUGACGAGUGGCGAACGGGUGAGUAAUGUAUCGGAACGUGCCCAGUCGUGGGGGAUAACUACCCGAACGAGUGGCUAAUACCGCCUACGACCUGAGGGUGAAAGCGGGGGACCGUAAGGCCGCGCGCGCUUGGAACGGCCGAUAUCAGUUUAGCUAUUUGGUGGGGUAAAAGCCCACCAAGGCGACGAUCUGUAGCUGGUCUGAGAGGACGACCAGCCACACUGGGACUGAGACACGGCCCAGACUCCUACGGGAGGCAGCAGUGGGGAAUUUUGGACAAUGGACGCAAGUCUGAUCCAGCCAUGCCGCGUGCGGGAAGAAGGCCUUCGGGUUGUAAACCGCUUUUGUCAGGGAAGAAACGAGUUUCUCUAAUACAGAGACUUAGUGACGGUACCUGAAGAAUAAGCACCGGCUAACUACGUGCCAGCCGCCGCGGUAAAAC
rnacentral:rRNA from 1 species